rfam:Canis lupus familiaris chromosome 25, whole genome shotgun sequence.
AUCCUUUUGUAGUUCAUAAACAAGAUGAUCGGGUGUUCACACCAUCAUGUGACAUGUGCCUCCCUCAAACCUUGUUAUGACCUCAGCACAUUACCCGUCUGAUG